GCAAUUUGAUUACGAUGUGCCUUACUGUAAUUUUCUUCAUACUUCUUCUGUUUGGGGUUCAUUGAGCUUUUUGGAUCUGUGAAUUUAUAUUUUUCAUUAAUUUGGGCAACUUUUCAGACAUUAUUUC